GCAGUGUGAAGAUGGACUAAUAUAGUCAGCACAAUGCAAAUAUCUGAAAACAAACAAACAAACAAACAAACAAACAAACACCUCUUCCAACCCAAAUGGAGCGGAGGUCGGGUAGUAUUUUGGAAGAUGGAAAAGAAAAAGUUUUCCCAGAAAAAACUGAUGUAAUUUGAACGAAGGAACUGCAACUUUAUCACCACUUUCUAACAAAGGAAAAUCUCACAGGACUGAAGCCAAGGUCAACAGAUUCUUCUUGCUAACAGGAUGCUUUUUCACACUUGGGAUUGUUAAAAAUAUCUAAAUUUCAUUCUAAGGCAUGAAUUAAAAAAAAUCUGGGCAUUCCUAACAUUAGUGUGCAUUAUGCAAUAGAUAGUACAUUACAAUUACUGUGGGCAAAUGACAUUAACUGCCAUGGUCUAUGCAUUUGUAAAUUUGGACAUUUUCUUCAGGUUGUCAUUAUUACAAUGGAAUUUGCUUCAUUGUUUCUACUGUAUAUAUUUAGUUUAGUCGUUCUUUAAAAUAUCUUCCAAAAUUCUUGUUCUGUGAGUUGGCAUUAAAAAAAACUUACUAUGUUCACAGGAAUACACUUAAAGAAAAUGAUGUUUUGUAAAUUUUAUACUAAGCAAACAAAUUCCUUUUUAUUAGAGGAAUGACCGUUAUUCUAUAUAUAUAUUUUUUUUUGCAAAGCAACAAUCAAAUGCUUUGCAACAAUGUUUUUCCAAAUUUAGCUCACUUAAGCAUCACCUGGGAACUUCCUUAAAAUGCAGACUCUGAUUCACUAAGUCUGGAUUGGGUCCUGAGAUUAUAAAUUUCUCACAAGCUUCCAAAUGUUGUCCAUGCUGUCAGCCCAUGGAACACAAUGUAAGUGCUAAGACUACUCAAAGAAGACUUAUAUAAGUACAAGAAGUUAUGUUACAUUUUGUAUAUGUAGAAGGAUUACCUGUCACAUCUUAUUCCACAUUUUUAUAACACCGUAACCAUUUAUUAUAUAUUCAUGAUAAAUUAUAAUAAGUAUAACAUUUUUUUCUUUUCUAGAUAUGCAUAAAAGUGAGUGAUG
rnacentral:lncRNA from 1 species